UUUUUGGGGGUGGUAAGAUCCAAGCAGGGUUACCUCAUAAUAGCAAUUCUGACUAACAAUCAGAAGCAACAAUUAUUUCUUCAAAUUUAUGAACAUUUACAAGUAAAUUUUUGCAAAGGCAUCAUUUGGACCCAGUUACCCAUAAAAUGCACACACCCACAUUACUGGUCUAUUGACACAGGCCAUCAAAUAGGCACACAACACUGAUGGAAAAAAUCCCAUUCUAGCUGUCAGGAUGGAACGUCGCCACCGAAUACGUCCCUAUUUUGUCAUCCUCCUAUUAAACAUUCGGAUGACACCAUCUUGCAGAUGAAGGCCAUGAUCUGUGCCUCUACUUUAGUGUGAUAAACUCACUCCCCAGCCCCAGAAUUAGCUCACUGAAGCUACUGGAUUUCUCUACUUGUUGGCCUUUUCUCCCAAGUCUGCUGGCACAGAGACGCCAGCAACGGUGUGCUCGGGGGAGCUGUCACUUAUCUAAACAGCUGUGACUAAGGAAGAUUGGGGUUGGUAGAAGAAUCUUUAAGUGUAACGGAAAGAACUACAGCUGAAGCAACUUUACUUCUUAAGAACCAAAGACAGCAGCACCAGAGGAAACUAGCAUCUGCAAGGGAAGCAGCAAUUAACUAUCACUCUGCAGCUCUGGCAGAGAAGUCCGUGCAAGUCCGGUCCUUUUAGCUAUGCAUCACCCCCCCCCCCUUCCUUUUAUGAGAGUAUUCUAAGUUAAGAACAAAUUCAUUUCUGCUGGGCUGAGGAUUUGUAAUUUGUAGGAAAUUAGUGAAAUUUUCUGACUAGGAUCCCAGUUUGAUUUCCCACUGCCAAGGUUCCUGGAAUAUAGCUGAAGCUGUCAGCCCUCCCUUCUCAUUUCAAGGACUUCAGCCUUAAGAUUGAGUUUCUCUAAAGCCUCUUUGCUUGUCACACUCCUCUGGGGCGACUGAUUACCUACCACACCCUGAGGUAAUCUUAUCCCAGCAUCAUUGGUUUAGAUUCCUGAUAGAAGGUUUGAAUAAACAGAGCGAGAGAUUUUUACCUAAAUGAUUACACUGAAAUAAAAUCUUCUAGGGGUACGUUUUUGAGGUGUUACCUAUCGUAGUCCUAUGGGAGACUUGGCUCCUUAAAUUUUUACUUAUUUCCCCAAUCCUCAACCCCUGAAAUACGGAUAAACCAGUUUUUGUUUUUUGAGAGUACCAUUUUUACAACAAGACGCCCUUUAGGGCAUCCAGAGUCUCCACCAGCAGAAAUCGGAUUUGAGCGUCUUGGGGAGAGAACACCAGGCCUUGAAAUUAGAGAAAUGAAACUCUAAUUAGGGAGAACAAGAAAUAAAAAGCGCCAAUCACUCCAGACCGUGACCCUGACUUGAUUCGCGGGACGCGCAACAAAAAGUUCCCCCAAACCAGAUCCUCAGAUCCAAAAGCCGGAGUCCAGAAACCAGUGGAUCGAAAA